GGGGAUUUAGCUCAGCGGCCUAAGUGUCUGCCUUACAAGCAGGCAGUCAUGAGUUCAAUCCCCA
rnacentral:tRNA from 1 species